CGGGCCCUGUUCACUGACAUGUUUACUCAUCUCACUGAGGUGGUUAUGUAGUUAUACGAUGCGAUGGAGAAGUUAUUCAGUGGUUGCCGUUGGUUCAUUAUCCUGUCAUAUUUGUUUCGUGAUUAAUUGUGGUUAUCUGAGUUGAGAUAUUUCACAUUUUGUUAUGUACAGCCCUUUUAAAGCUGAUUAUACGUAAUGUGUUCUAUCAAUUGUUGAAAACCGUGCGGUUACUUUAUGUAAUGAAAGCACAUUGAUAUCAAUUGUUACAACGAAAGAUACUUCAACAUAUUAAUUUUAAAAACAAUAUUACAAAUUUCAAACCGAUAUCGAGUUGUUGUAAACAAGCAAAGACCGUCCCCAUUUUGCGAGCGACAUGAAGAAGCAUAUUAUUAAAUUGACACCCUUUAUAAACCAUUUUUGACAGUGAUGUGAUUUUUUCAAGUCUCCAUUACAUGUAUUUUCCUGGCUAUGAAUAUGUCUAAGAUUUUUUAAAAACAUAAGAAUUCGAUUAGAUUUAAUAUGCAGAAUGAAAAGAUAAUUCAUC
rnacentral:lncRNA from 1 species